rnacentral:lncRNA from 1 species
UAUUUAUUUUUUAGUUCUUGGCGGACACAACAUCUUUGUAUGUGGUGCUGAGGAUCAAACCUGGGCCGCACGCAUGCCAGGCGAGCGCGCUACCGCUUGAGCCACAUCUCCAGCCCCUGACUAGCAUAUUCUUCACCUCAGGCUAUCCUUUCAAAAAUAUCCUUUAUUACAACCUCUGUGGCUUUGUUUUUAUACUUUGUGAAAUGACAUACUGCAAUCUUUCUUGCUUUUCUUAAUCUGUUUCUUUUUGUAAGGUUUUAUGCAGCCUCUCCAUGCUUUGUCUGAAUUGGCCAUACUCUUUAUUACUGUGUUGCUUCUUUGCUAAGGAAAAAAAAUGAAAAUGUUAAGAGAAAUUCAACUAAGAAAUUUUGCUUUUAAUAAUCAUAGCAAAAAUUGGAAAAAUGGAAAUGCAUAUGAUAUUAGUUAUUAAUGUAUUACCUUUUGAUCCAAAUCCACCGUUUGCUUCUUGUUCUGCCAUAAUAGAGCUGGACCCUAUAAGCAAUUCUGUUUUGAUAAGUGGACAUGAGGGCUCUAGGGAAGAUGCUGAAGGACACAGGGCUUUCUCUUCCUAGAUCUAGCAUGCUUGUUUUCUUCUUAGUUCAACUAUGUGGCUGACAGUGGCAUUUAUGGGUACAUCUAGUGGUUCUCAUCCCCAAUGAGUGUCAUGGCCCUCUGUGAACAGCUUCCACAUCCCUGAAACAGUUUGCCAGUGAGUUCCACGAGCUCACCCCAGGGCAGCUUCCUGGUACAUUCUACUGCCACAUCCCCAGUUUCUCAAUGAUGCUCAGUAAUUCUGACAGAACCCACUCUGGAGGCUUCCUGAAAAUUCUACCAUCACCUCAAAGAGUGAGUAGUUCCCUCCUUCCUAGAUUUGGCUUGCAGCAGCUCAUUGGACCUCUCUACCAUUUCAUUGGUCAUGGCCACUAUGACUUCUCAAAUUUUAGGUCCCAGCUCCAGAAGGGAGGGGACUUUUCCAAAUUUAUUUCUUAGAUGGGUACUGUACACUAGAGAUAAUGGCUGCUCUCUCUAUGCUGUUCUUGUAAUAAGUACUGCUUUCUAUCCCUUCCAUAGUUAAUCUCUUACUCCUAGUUAAUAUUUAUUUUUAUUAAACAUCCCUGUUCAAAUUACUGUGUGCUUUAUUAAACAUUUUCUUUUCAGAUUACUGUCCUAUCUCCUGGCUGAUCCUUAACAGAGUAAAUCAUUGAAAAAAGAUGAAAUAAACUAGAAUACUAUGCAGGAAUUAAAAAAGAAUAAAUCAGGCUUUUGUGAAAGACCAACUGCUAUAGGAAUUGCCUCUCUCCAUAAAUAUAUAGAAAAUUUCACAAAACGUAUGAAAUAAUUAUUUACAGACCUUGUACUUGAAGCAGCACAAGACUGUGAUCUCUGAAAGAUACAAAUGAAGCUAGCUCUACAAUUUCCCCAGCCUGGAGGCAGUUUUCAGACUAUAGUACAGAGAGGGAUACUCAAAAUGAGAGUCUUGCUGAGUUGAAGAGAAAGAUAAAGAAUACAAAUGAGGCCAGAGUGCCAGAAAUUUGCAGGAUGGAGUUCUGAAAAGAGGGAUCUCCACAAAUAACUCUGGAGAUUUUUACAGGGGCCUUCAAGAGGCUUUGGCUGAGUUCUGUCUGCACAUACAUGGAAUAAAAUACAAUUAGGCCUGGAAAAGAAUCACCAAAAGCAGUAGGCCAACACUUCUUAGAAUUCCUUAAGUUCUGGGAGUUGUAGAAAAUUCCACAGAAUGGAAGAUCUAAUAUAAUAGGCUUCAGAGAGAAGAACAGACAUAUCUCAGUAGUGUAGGUAAUUAACAGACAUAUCUCAGUAGUGUAG